CCAAAUUAUCCACAGAGGUCUCUACCUCUCCUAAAAACAUGGACCUUGUGAUUUAAACCAGUAAAAACUGAAUAAAGCAGUUUUGCAUUACAAAUCAGUGUUUUUCCGCUGCUGCUCGUCACAGAUUGGCUGCUAACUACAACGGCUGACAUGAAAACUUGAACAGCCCUAUCUGAAGCCAGUGUUUGGUUUAUCCAUUCUGGGCUACUGUAGAAACAUAGCGGUGCAACAUGCCAAUCUCCAAAGAAAAGGACCUGCUUCCUCUAGGACUAGAACCCGCCUCCAUCGCCAUGCCGACUGUCAAUCAGCUGUGCUUCCGCUUCUGUGCACCUCUUCCCUCUCCUUGUGAAAUGCACACACACACAUACACACACUAUCUUCCCUUUGAUCCAGUGUGAAGGAGAAAGUCCGAGGCUGUGGACCACAUUACUUUCACUCAUGACAGAACUCACACACAAACAUUACA